rnacentral:lncRNA from 1 species
GGAAUGAUGUCCAAGUGAGUAAGAUCAUUGAGCAUGAGUCAGAGUGCCUGUUCUGGCUCCUUGUGAGACCAGGAGCACCUCCCGCCUUCAACCUCCCUGAUUUCCAUGGAGCCUGAGGGCUGAGGCUAGCCUUAUACACUGCAUCCUUUGCUUUCUUGGAACGUCAGCACAGGUGGCACCUGGAGCUGGAGUAACUGGUGUGGACGCGGCCCUCUCCUUUUCAAGGAGAACACUUUGGCCUGCAGAGACAAUGGACUCAAGAGAGGAGAAGGUGGGAAGCCCUCCCCAGCCGCACCCUCCCGCUCAGCCCUCACUCCUCUCUUCUGGCUCUGGCCUUCCAUUGGCACCCAGGCUCAGCGUUGUCCCUGGGUUCCCCAGGUUCCCGGGUGCCAUUCACCUUCCACUGACCAACAACUCAUCUCCUGAAAGGAACUCUGACCUCUCCUCAUUUCUCCACACCGCUUCUGAUCUCUGAUCCCAGCUGCCACCCAGGACUUGAAGCGAGCAAGAGAUAGGGGAUGGGCAGCCCCAGGAACCUGGGAGUGGGGACUACUCAGACAGCCUCCCUGGAAGAAAGGAUCAGGCCCGAACCAGGAAGUGUCGUGUUUCAAAUACUCUCAUAGAGAGAGAAAGACAUCAGGGACAGGUGCCAACUCUGAACGGCUGCCUCAACAGGCAGGGCACUGUUCCCUGGAGAAGGCUGAAGAGCAAUCUGACUGCCAUGGUCAAGUAGGUGAUGGGUCUGAAGCAAAGGGUUGUGACAGGCUACCUCCUUCUCCCACCAUGGUCAGAAUGAGAGGAAACGGGCUUCAACUGUGACAGGAAGGAUUUAGGUUAGACAUAUGGGAGAACUUCCUGUGACAGUGUCUACCCUAUGUAUCCCAGUUGUUCGUCCAGGUUGAACUCUUCCCUGGAGUUGAUGAAUUGCAUGUUGUUGCUUGCUAAUGAGUAACUUAUCUUGCCUGUGAUUAGCAAAGAACCUCCAGCCCAGACAAUGUAUGUGUCCAGACUCUUCCCCAGGGAAGAAGUCCAGAGAGGCCUGGGUGGCACCAGGACCAGAGCCCCCAGGG